rnacentral:rRNA from 1 species
GAUGAACGCUGGCGGCGUGCCUAAUACAUGCAAGUCGAGCGGCAAGGCCCUUCGGGGUACACGAGCGGCGGACGGCUGAGUAACACGUAGGAACGUACCCCAAACUGAGGGAUAAGCACCAGAAAUGGUGUCUAAUACCGCAUGUUGCCUUCGGGCUAAAGGUCCGGCGGUUUGGGAACGGCCUGCGUCCGAUUAGCUAGUUGGUAGUGUAAUGGACUACCAAGGCGACGAUCGGUAGCUGGUCUGAGAGGAUGAUCAGCCAGACUGGGACAGAGACACGGCCCAGACUCCUACGGGAGGCAGCAGUAGGGAAUUUUCCACAAUGGGGGCAACCCUGAUGGAGCAACGCCGCGUGCAGGAUGAAGGCCUUCGGGUUGUAAACUGCUUUUAUCUGUGACGAUUAUGACGGUAGCAGAUGAAUAAGGACCUGCUAACUACGUGCCAGCAGCCGCCGUAA